CUGCUGGGGUAGCUGCUGGGCCAAGAGCACGGAGCCCUGCGUGGGGCAAGCCUGGAGGACUUCCCAGAGGAGUAGCCACCACCUGUGAGGGGGGCGUUCCGUGGGCACACUCACAUCUUGCCCGGGCAGCUUGUGGAGUGGGGGCUUCUCCAGUGGUCAUUUCCCCACUCCGAGACCAGGCAUCUGGAAUUGGACAUCUGGGACCAGCAAGAGGACGUGGCCCACGCCAGGGAACAGGAGGGUCACAUGGAGCAUCUGGGAGACGGGAGACACAUCCACAGGGCUGAACAACGGUCCCCGUCUGUGAGCCAUCUGGUGGGAAGAAACCAGGGCAGACUGGAAGACAGUGCAACGUCUUUAAAAAUUCUGGAGGAAACGAAAUCGUCAACUCAGAAUUGUUUUUCCAGUGAAAAUAUUCUUCCAGAAUGAAGAUGAAAUAAAACUAUUCUCAGAUCAGAGAAAACUGGGAGACUUUGCUGACCUGCAUGAUGAGAAAUGCUAAAGGGAGUGUCCGGGCUGGGAGGCAAGGAGCCCGGGGUGGACGACAGAGCUGCAGGGAGCAGUGAAGAGACUUAUAUGGACUGUUUCGAACAGGGUGACCUAUAGAAAUCGUCCUGGUUGGCCUGGGACUGAGCCGUUUCCUGGGACACAGGACUUUCACGACUAAAACUGGUUCAGCCCCACGCAAACUGGGACAAUUAGUUAUUUCUAGUCCUUUAAGCAACUACUUUGUCCACCUUUCCCUUGGCCAAACAUGAGCCCCUGAAGAGCAAAACCCUCAUCUGUGCUGUGUGUGGGCCCCCGACAGAUGAGAGGACCGGAUGAAGGAGGGAAAGGAAGCAAGCUGUGAAUUAUAAGUACACCACGUUCACAGAAAUAGAAAACAUCCAUGAGAACAAUUGGAAAUGAAGGUGACCGUCUUAGAGCAGAGGGAUGUGGGUGAUUUAAAAACGGUUUCUCUGGGGGCGCCUGGGUGGCUCAGUCUUUUAAGCAUCUGCCUUCAGCUCAGGUCAUGAUCCCUGGGUGCUGGAAUCGAGGCCCCACAUCGGACUGCUUGCUCAGCGGGGGGCCUGCGUCUCCCUCUCCCACUCCCCUUGCUUGUGUUCCCUCUCUCGCUGUGCCUCUCUCUUUGACAAAUAAAUA